AUUGAACGCUGGCGGCAGGCCUAACACAUGCAAGUCGAGCGGUAACAGAAAGAAAGCUUGCUUUCUUUGCUGACGAGCGGCGGACGGGUGAGUAAUGCCUGGGAAUAUGCCUUAGUGUGGGGGAUAACUAUUGGAAACGAUAGCUAAUACCGCAUAACGUCUUCGGACCAAAGAGGGGGACCUUCGGGCCUCUCGCGCUAAGAUUAGCCCAGGUGGGAUUAGCUAGUUGGUGAGGUAAAGGCUCACCAAGGCAACGAUCCCUAGCUGGUCUGAGAGGAUGAUCAGCCACACUGGAACUGAGACACGGUCCAGACUCCUACGGGAGGCAGCAGUGGGGAAUAUUGCACAAUGGGGGAAACCCUGAUGCAGCCAUGCCGCGUGUAUGAAGAAGGCCUUCGGGUUGUAAAGUACUUUCAGCAGUGAGGAAAGGGGUGUCGUUAAUAGCGCCAUCCUGUGACGUUAACUGCAGAAGAAGGACCGGCUAACUCCGUG
rnacentral:rRNA from 1 species